rnacentral:lncRNA from 10 species
CUGGAUUUUCAUUGUUGAUUGUUGUGGUUUUGUUUUUCACACAUUGGGGAUUUCCUUCCUGACUCUUCCUUCUUGGCCCCAAUCCACUGCUGAUUAAAUCUCUGUGUGGAUCCUCCACCAGGCCCUGCAUCAGCUGCUCUGUCGUGAGACCCACCUGAGUGCUCAGGUCUGAACCUCAGGGAUCUAGUGGAGUAGAAGGAGUGCUGAUUCUAGAACUAACAAGUGGGCUUCAAGUGAAAGUUCUGCUGCUUCGUCACUCUCAGAAACUAUUUCUUCAGGAGAAAAUGAGACUUACAAUAUCACAUAUAUGAAGCUGCCAUGAAUUGAUGUAUAUAAAUAAACAAGAAAACCAUAUUAAACCACAGUGCAUGGUCAUAACAAUGGCGAAGAGGAAGAAAAAGGAGAAGAGUGAUGAGGAGAAUAAGCACAAGACGACUUUCUCUUCCGGGUGAGAGGGAAGCAACCUUAGGUAGACUGUUUGAGAAGAAUCAGUGGCUUUUCUUUACUGAGCAGAAGUCAUUGAGCAAGUAUUUACUGACCACUACUACAUGUUAAUGUGGAUUCAAAAACAACUGCAGAUGGAAGACAGCCAAGAAUCACAGGGAGAGGAAGCUUGACCAGGAGGCCAUGAGCUGAUCCCUGAGGUGACUAUGGUUGCCAUUCUAUGUUUACCAUUCUUUAUGCCUGCCCCUCCUCUGCUGCUCUUCCUUCAGGUCUUCUGCCUUCCCUCUCUUCUGCUAUUGUGCUAAGUCUAUCGAUUCCUCUGCUCAGAUCCACAGACGUGACAUAUGGAGGGUCAAAACCUUCCCCAUUGAGAUCCAUCUUCCUUCCAUGUUUCAGGGAGCUUCCAAGCCACCAGGGACCACUGAUUUCCAGAAGCCCCUGGUCCUCCUGAGAGAAUGAGGAGCAAAUCCAAGCACUGGGCAGACCCUGCAAGAGUGCCGCGCCUUCACCCUUCUCUGCAUAUCCUGGGCUCAGGGACCCGGGGGGAGUUGGCAGUGGCUAACAAGUUCCGUUCCAUCUGCUGCUUCUGGCAGAGUGGACCUGGAACCUGGGGCCCUUCUCUAGGUCUCCCCGAGCCAAACUAUCAAAUGAAUGACAGCUAAGAUUCUAUCGAUUUCCCACCGUCUGGUUCUUUUCUUUCCCUGUGACAUUUUUACACUCUGCAUUUUAGUUUGGGUUUGCAGAAUUUCACAAGAUUCUUGUUCGAUUUCCUUCCUCAAAGCACUUUAUUGUGAUUGUAACAUUAAAAACAGAGAAACAAACCACGUCCAUGAGUUUUUUUAAGACAGGCCUGAAAGCCUUGGAGCCUGCUGUGUCACACUACACGCUGUUUCAUCUUCUACUCUCCUCACUCUGAUUCUUCUAAGGCCAAACUUUCUCACUGCUGCUGCCAACCCUGCGUUAGUGAGACUCAAUGAGAUGGUUUUUCCUCUGCCCCCCACGCCUAUACAGUGUAAAGGGGCCAUCCUGGAUGGUGUCCAGCUAGGAAAGCCCAGCCUCUGCUCUCUAUUGCUGUCAGAAGAUUCUAGAAUCACAGGGGCUUGGGUUCGAGUCUUGAUUAUACCUUACCAGCCAUGUGACUUUUUGUGACAACUUCUCUGAGUCCAGCCAGCUUCUUUAUUUAUUAAAAAAUGUAUCUCUCUCAUAGGGAUUUUUUGAAAAGUAAAUGAGAUAAAUAUGGAAUGCCUGGCACAUAUUACACUCUUAAUAAACUUUUGUCCUCCUCAAACUGUCUCUCACUAUGGAGGUGAUUUUGCCUUGGCCAGCAGGCUGGAGGCCUUCUGGGGAAGCAUUGAAAGCAAG